rnacentral:rRNA from 1 species
AUAUCAAUAAGCGGAGGAAAAGAAACCAACAGGGAUUACCCUAGUAACGGCGAGUGAAGCGGUAACAGCUCAAAUUUGAAAUCUGACCUUCACGGGUUCGAGUUGUAAUUUGUAGAGGAUGUUUCGGAUAAGGCUUUAGUUUAAGUUUCUUGGAACAGAACGUCAUAGAGGGUGAGAAUCCCGUCUUGGACCGGCGGUAGGGCCUGUGUAAAACUCCUUCGACGAGUCGAGUUGUUUGGGAAUGCAGCUCAAAAUGGGUGGUAAAUUUCAUCUAAAGCUAAAUAUUGGCCAGAGACCGAUAGCGCACAAGUAGAGUGAUCGAAAGAUGAAAAGCACUUUGAAAAGAGAGUUAAACAGUAUGUGAAAUUGUUGAAAGGGAAGCGCUUGCAAUCAGACUUGAGCGCGGCGGUUCCCCCAGCCUUUUGGCUGGGCUACUCCGUCGUGUCCAGGCCAACAUCGGUUCUGAGGGUCGGUUAAAGGCUCUGGGAAUGUAUCUACCCACGGGUAGACUUAUAGACCAGGGUGUCAUGCGGCCUCUCGGGACCGAGGAACGCGCUUCGGCUCGGAUGUUGGCGUAAUGGUUGUCAGCGA